rnacentral:rRNA from 1 species
UGCCUCAUAGUAUUGUAGACUGGAUCAGUUUAUAAUUAAAGAUUUAUCGGUAAAAGAUGGCUAUGCGUCCUAUUAGUUAGUUGGUAAGGUAACGGCUUACCAAGACAGCGAUAGGUAGGGGUCCUGAGAGGGAGAUCCCCCACACUGGUACUGAGACACGGACCAGACUCCUACGGGAGGCAGCAGUGAGGAAUAUUGGACAAUGGAGGAGACUCUGAUCCAGCCAUGCCGCGUGUAGGAAGAAUGCCCUAUGGGUUGUAAACUACUUUUAUACAGGAGGAAACUCUGGUAUGUAUACC